rnacentral:rRNA from 1 species
GACGAACGCUGGCGGCGUGCUUAACACAUGCAAGUCGAACGGAAAGGCCCUGCUUUUGUGGGGUGCUCGAGUGGCGAACGGGUGAGUAACACGUGAGUAACCUGCCCUUGACUUUGGGAUAACUUCAGGAAACUGGGGCUAAUACCGGAUAGGAGCUCCUGCUGCAUGGUGGGGGUUGGAAAGUUUCGGCGGUUGGGGAUGGACUCGCGGCUUAUCAGCUUGUUGGUGGGGUAGUGGCUUACCAAGGCUUUGACGGGUAGCCGGCCUGAGAGGGUGACCGGCCACAUUGGGACUGAGAUACGGCCCAGACUCCUACGGGAGGCAGCAGUGGGGAAUAUUGCACAAUGGGCGGAAGCCUGAUGCAGCAACGCCGCGUGCGGGAUGACGGCCUUCGGGUUGUAAACCGCUUUCGCCUGUGACGAAGCGUGAGUGACGGUAAUGGGUAAAGAAGCACCGGCUAACUACGUGCCAGCAGCCGCGGUGAUACGUAGGGUGCGAGCGUUGUCCGGAUUUAUUGGGCGUAAAGGGCUCGUAGGUGGUUGAUCGCGUCGGAAGUGUAAUCUUGGGGCUUAACCCUGAGCGUGCUUUCGAUACGGGUUGACUUGAGGAAGGUAGGGGAGAAUGGAAUUCCUGGUGGAGCGGUGGAAUGCGCAGAUAUCAGGAGGAACACCAGUGGCGAAGGCGGUUCCCUGGGCCUUUCCUGACGCUGAGGAGCGAAAGCGUGGGGAGCGAACAGGCUUAGAUACCCUGGUAGUCCACGCUGUAAACGGUGGGUACUAGGUGUGGGGUCCAUUCCACGGGUUCCGUGCCGUAGCUAACGCUUUAAGUACCCCGCCUGGGGAGUACGGCCGCAAGGCUAAAACUCAAAGGAAUUGACGGGGCCCCGCACAAGCGGCGGAGCAUGCGGAUUAAUUCGAUGCAACGCGUAGAACCUUACCUGGGUUUGACAUGGAUCGGGAGUGCUCAGAGAUGGGUGUGCCUCUUUUGGGGUCGGUUCACAGGUGGUGCAUGCCUGUCGUCAGCUCGUGUCGUGAGAUGUUGGGUUAAGUCCCGCAACGAGCGCAACCCUUGUUCACUGUUGCCAGCACGUUAUGGUGGGGACUCAGUGGAGACCGCCGGGGUCAACUCGGAGGAAGGUGGGGAUGACGUCAAGUCCUCAUGCCCCUUAUGUCCAGGGCUUCACGCAUGCUACAAUGGCUGGUACAGAGAGUGGCGAGCCUGUGAGGGUGAGCGAAUCUCGGAAAGCCGGUCUCAGUUCGGAUUGGGGUCUGCAACUCGACCUCAUGAAGUCGGAGUCGCUAGUAAUCGCAGAUCAGCAACGCUGCGGUGAAUACGUUCCCGGGGCUUGUACACACCGCCCGUCAAGUCAUGAAAGUUGGUAACACCCGAAGCCGGUGGCCUAACCGUUGUGGGGGAGCCGUCGAAG